rnacentral:rRNA from 1 species
UACGUAUGGUGCAAGCGUUAUUCGGAUUUACUGGGUGUAAAGGGAGCGCAGGCGGCACGGCAAGCCUGAUGUGAAAGCCCGCGGCCCAACCGCGGGACUGCAUUGGGAACUACCGGGCUGGAGUGCCGGAGAGGUAGGCGGAAUUCCUAGUGUAGCGGCGAAAUGCGUAGAUAUUAGGAGGAACACCAGUGGCGAAGGCGGCCUACUGGACGGUGACUGACGCUGAGGCUCGAAAGCGUGGGGAGCAAACAGG